CAGCAUGGCUGCCCAGAUCCUCACACUGAAGAUGAGGAUGACCUAGAUGUUCUCAUGGUUGAGGUAGUAAAUAACAGAAAUGGACUAGCCUGCGGAGAUGCUUUUUCUAUGCGGAACUACUUUACAAUAAACAAUAGCCAUGGAUUGGUAACACAUUUUUUAUUUUAUUCAGAAUUGAAAAUAAUGGGACCCCGAACUGGUGCUGGUUUUAAAAGAACAUUGGUACUGCUGCUGCUUUACGUUUCUCUCCUCCUCCUUCAUAGCCGUCUCAACAUGAGGUUUCUCUCCUCCUCCUCCUUCAUAGCCAACUCAAUAUGAGGUUUCUCUCCUCCUCCUUCAUAGCCAACUCAGUAUGAGGUUUCUCUCCUCCUCCUCCUUCAUAGCCAACUCAACAUUAGGUUUCUCUCCUCCUCCUUCAUAGCCAACUCAAUAUGAGGUUUUACAUCUUCAUAUUUUAAUUUAACCCUUAUUUCACCUGGUAAGUUGACUGAGAACACAUUCUCAUUUACAGCAACGACCUGGGGAAUAGUUACAGGGGAGAGGAGGGGAAUGAAUGAGCCAAUUGUAAGUUGGGGAUGAUUAGUUGACCGUGAUGGUAUGAGGGCCAGUUUGAGAAUUUAGCCAGGACACCAGGGGUUAACACCCCUACUCUUACAAUAAAGUCCAAUGAGAUCUUAAAUUACCACAGAGUCAAAACACCAGUUUAACGUCACAUCCGAAAGACAGCACCCUACACAGGGAAAUGUCCCCAAUCACUGCCCUGGGGCAUUGGGAUAUUUUUUGGACCAGAUGAAAAGGUGCCUCCUACUGGCCCUCCAACACCACUUCCAGCAGCAUCUGGUGCCCCAUCCAGGACCAAUCCUGCUUAGCUUCAGAAGCAAGCCAGCAGUGUGGUAUGCUGCUCUACUUUUAAAUACAUUAGUUUGAGCUCGUUAAAUUCCAUGGGCAGUUCCUCAUGCAUGCUCAGCAUCUUUGCCUUUGUGUCACUAACCCGGGCCAGAAGACGAUCUCCCUCCUGGCUGCUGCAGAUGUAGCAGGCUGACCUUCAUCCUGUUAAGACAAGUCUGUCUUAACCUCCAAGCUAUGGUGAUCAUCAGCCUCUAGAAAAUGAUUACAUUGCUGCAUUAGAGAACAUUAUUUCUUCAAGAGUUGAGUUCAUUACGUCAGUUUUAUUAUGGGAGUGCAAGAGAUGACUGACAAUAUCACAUAUUCCCUGCAGUCUGGGGAUGGAACAUGUUGAAUGAAUGUGUCCUACCAAAUGAAGAUUGGAACGGUCCCCCAUCUGAACUGUCCAAAUGGUCGUUGUCUAGGAUACCCUCCAGGGGUUUCUGGCUAUCAAUGAGCCCUGUCAACAAGUCUCCCAGCUCAUCUGCCGAUGGUCUUACUGAGGGCCAGCCACCAUCUUGAAACGCUCCCCACGACCAACCGCAUUUGUCUUCUUUAUGUCGAUUUUUAUGUUUUUUCCACAGGACUUUAGAAAGACAAGACAAUAUCGAAAUGAUGUUAGUAAUUAUGGAUGAUAUUUUUUGUUACAUUUCUGUCUCACAAAUACAUUUUGGUCCCACUGUGUUAUGUUACAGAAGAAAACUACCAUUUCAGAGUGACUCGGAUUUGUAAAAAGUGGGCAAACAAUAAAUCCAGUAUCUUA
rnacentral:lncRNA from 1 species